rnacentral:rRNA from 1 species
UAAACUAGGAUUAGAUACCCUAUUAUUUUAAAUGUAAAUAAAUACCAAGGUAGUAAUAAUUAUUUUUUAAACCUAAAGAAUUUGGCGGUGUUUUAGUCUUUUCAGAGGAACUUGUUCAAUAAUCGAUAAUCCCCGUUUUAUCUUACCUAAAUUAGUAGUAUGUAUACCGCCGUUAUAAGUUUAUUUUUUUAGAAUAUUUAUUUACUUUAUAAUAGAUUUUUUUAUAUUUCA